rnacentral:rRNA from 1 species
CCUGGCUUCCCGGCCGGCUGAAGUAUUUUUAUCACCCAUGUCUUAUGCGCACUUGUUGUUUCCUGGGCGGGUUCGCGCGCCACCAGGACCAAACCAUAACCCUUUUUUUUUAUGCAGUUGCAAUCAGCGUCAGUAAAAACAUUGUAAUUAUUACAACUUUCAACAGCGGAUCUCUUGGUUCUGGCAUCGAUGAAGAACGCAGCGAAAUGCUGAUACGUAGUGUGAAUUGCAGAAUUCAGUGAAUCAUCGAAUCUUUGAACGCACAUUGCGCCCUUUGGUAUUCCAAAGGGCAUGCCUGUUCGAGCGUCAUUGUGUACCUUCAAGCUUUGCUUGGUGUUGGGCGUUUUUGUCUCUCUUUUUUGGGAGACUCGCCUUAAAACGAUUGGCAGCCGGCCUACUGGUUUCGGAGCGCAGCACAUAUUUUGCGCUUUGUAUCAGGAGAAAAGGACGGUAAUCCAUCAAGACUCUACAUUUCAAUUUUGACCUCGGAUCAGGUUUCCAAGGAGAGCGUGGUACCACGGAUAUAGGUGGCUUAGUACCUAUGAAUUGACCAACGUAUACAAAGAACAGAAGAAAAAAUAGAGCGUGACGGGUGGGAUCAA